rnacentral:lncRNA from 1 species
CUUCUGCUUUGAUUGGAUGAUGCGGUUGGAAGUUGGAAAUAUUGUUACUAGAGUCAGACUAGUCAUUUCUUUUAAGUAUCUAUUCAUCUCGUUGCCUUUUCUAUUGAGAAUGUUUAAUUUGUCGAUUUUCCAUGAUAUUAUGUUUGAAUCUGUUGUUGAUAUUGAGAUAUUGGCAAUUAAUGAAAGGUAGCAUAUGUUAAGGAUAAUAAUUUAUGCUCUGAAGAUGACCUCUCCCGGUUGCCCAUUCUUUAAUAGUGACAGAGGCCAUGCAUUCUCUUCUUCUAGUUGUCAAUUUCUUUCCAUAAAAUUUUAAUGAUAUUGGUCUUUCUAUCUUGUUGUUGGAAAAUAAAAAUACAAACAGGCGGACUGGGUAAGAAAUGGAGAGUUGACCUGGAAAUGGAGGACUAAUCAAAUAUGGUUCUUCUGCUAUGAUUGGAUGAUGCGGUUGGAAGUUGGAAGUUGGAAGAGAGUUGAUGGAGCUGGAAAUGGAGAACUGAUCAAAGCUAGUGUUUGGGUCCUUGCUUGCUUACCAGUCUUUUUCUUGAUUCUUGACUUGUUGCCUCAGUGCUGAAUUCUGGAGUGGUGUGCUUGUUUAUUAUUUGUCUUAUUUUCACAUAGACUCAUGUGUAAGGUUGUUUUGGUUGUUUGGAGUUUGGAGUGUGAACUUUGAUUUAGUUUACAAUAAAAGAUUGAUGGAUUCAUUUAUCAAUCAAAUAUAUGAAUGAU